UACGGAGGAUGCGAGCGUUAUCCGGAUUUAUUGGGUUUAAAGGGUGCGUAGGCGGGCUUUUAAGUCAGCGGUAAAAAUUCGGGGCUCAACCCCGUCCGGCCGUUGAAACUGGGGGUCUUGAGUGGGCGAGAAGAAGGCGGAAUGCGUGGUGUAGCGGUGAAAUGCAUAGAUAUCACGCAGAACCCCGAUUGCGAAGGCAGCCUUCCGGCGCCCUACUGACGCUGAGGCACGAAAGUGCGGGGAGCGAACAGG
rnacentral:rRNA from 1 species